rnacentral:rRNA from 1 species
GACGAACGCUGGCGGCGUGCCUAAUACAUGCAAGUAGAACGCACAGUUUAUACCGUAGCUUGCUACACCAUAGACUGUGAGUUGCGAACGGGUGAGUAACGCGUAGGUAACCUGCCUGGUAGCGGGGGAUAACUAUUGGAAACGAUAGCUAAUACCGCAUAAUAUUAAUUAUUGCAUGAUAAUUAAUUGAAAGGUGCAAUUGCACCACUACCAGAUGGACCUGCGUUGUAUUAGCUAGUAGGUGAGGUAACGGCUCACCUAGGCGACGAUACAUAGCCGACCUGAGAGGGUGAUCGGCCACACUGGGACUGAGACACGGCCCAGACUCCUACGGGAGGCAGCAGUAGGGAAUCUUCGGCAAUGGACGAAAGUCUGACCGAGCAACGCCGCGUGAGUGAAGAAGGGUUUCGGAUCGUAAAGCUCUGUUGUAAGAGAAGAACGGGUGUGAGAGUGGAAAGUUCUCACUGUGACGGUAUCUUACCAGAAAGGGACGGCUAACUACGUG